rnacentral:rRNA from 1 species
UAGGGAAUCUUCGGCAAUGGACGAAAGUCUGACCGAGCAACGCCGCGUGAGUGAAGAAGGUUUUCGGAUCGUAAAACUCUGUUGGUAGAGAAGAACGUUGGUGAGAGUGGAAAGCUCAUCAAGUGACGGUAACUACCCAGAAAGGGACGGCUAACUGCGUGCCAU